UACGUAGGGUGCAAGCGUUGUCCGGAAUUAUUGGGCGUAAAGAGCUCGUAGGCGGUUUGUCGCGUCUGCUGUGAAAACCCGAGGCUCAACCUCGGGCCUGCAGUGGGUACGGGCAGACUAGAGUGCGGUAGGGGGAGAUUGGAAUUGCCUGGUGUAGCGGUGGAAUGCGCAGAUAUCAGGAGGAACACCAAUGGCGAAGGGCAGAAUCUCUGGGGCCGUAAACUGACGCUGAGGAGCGAAAGCAUGGGGAGCGAACAGG
rnacentral:rRNA from 1 species